AUUUAUAUAGUAUAAAAAUUAUUCUUAACUUCCAAUUAAGAGAUCUAAAAACUUAGUAUAAAUA
rnacentral:tRNA from 1 species